rnacentral:rRNA from 1 species
AUGAACGCUGGCGGCGUGCCUAAUACCUGCAAGUCGAGCGAACAGAUGAGGAGCUUGCUCCUCUGACGUUAUCGGCGGACGGGUUAGUAACACGUGGAUAACCUACCUAUAAGUCUGUGAUAACUUCGGGAAACCGGAGCUAAUACCGGAUAAUAUAUUUAACCGCAUGGUUCAAUAGUUAAAGACGGUUUUGCUUUCACUUAUAGAUUGAUCCGCGCCGCAUUAGCUAGUUGGUAAGGUAACGGCUUACCAAGGCGACGAUGCGUAGCCGACCUGAGAGGGUGAUCGGCCAAACUGGAACUGAGACACGGUACAGACUACUACGGGAGGCAGCAGUAGGGAAUCUUCCGCAAUGGGCGAAAGCUUGACGGAGCAACGCCGCGUGAGUGAUGAAGGUCUUCGGAUCGUAAAACUCUGUUAUUAGGGAAGAACAAAUGUGUAAGUAAAUAUGCACGUCUUGACGGUACCUAAUCAGAAAGCAACGGCUAACUACGUG